GAUGAACGCUGGCGGCGUGCCUAAUACAUGCAAGUCGAGCGAACGGACGAGAAGCUUGCUUCUCUGAUGUUAGCGGCGGACGGGUGAGUAACACGUGGAUAACCUACCUAUAAGACUGGGAUAACUUCGGGAAACCGGAGCUAAUACCGGAUAAUAUUUUGAACCGCAUGGUUCAAAAGUGAAAGACGGUCUUGCUGUCACUUAUAGAUGGAUCCGCGCUGCAUUAGCUAGUUGGUAAGGUAACGGCUUACCAAGGCAACGAUGCAUAGCCGACCUGAGAGGGUGAUCGGCCACACUGGAACUGAGACACGGUCCAGACUCCUACGGGAGGCAGCAGUAGGGAAUCUUCCGCAAUGGGCGAAAGCCUGACGGAGCAACGCCGCGUGAGUGAUGAAGGUCUUCGGAUCGUAAAACUCUGUUAUUAGGGAAGAACAUAUGUGUAAGUAACUGUGCACAUCUUGACGGUACCUAAUCAGAAAGCCGCGGCUAACUACGUGCCAGCAGCCGCGGUAAUACGUAGGUGGCAAGCGUUAUCCGGAAUUAUUGGGCGUAAAGCGCGCGUAGGCGGUUUUUUAAGUCUGAUGUGAAAGCCCACGGCUCAACCGUGGAGGGUCAUUGGAAACUGGAAAACUUGAGUGCAGAAGAGGAAAGUGGAAUUCCAUGUGUAGCGGUGAAAUGCGCAGAGAUAUGGAGGAACACCAGUGGCGAAGGCGACUUUCUGGUCUGUAACUGACGCUGAUGUGCGAAAGCGUGGGGAUCGAACAGGAUUAGAUACCCUGGUAGUCCACGCCGUAAACGAUGAGUGCUAAGUGUUAGGGGGUUUCCGCCCCUUAGUGCUGCAGCUAACGCAUUAAGCACUCCGCCUGGGGAGUACGACCGCAAGGUUGAAACUCAAAGGAAUUGACGGGGACCCGCACAAGCGGUGGAGCAUGUGGUUUAAUUCGAAGCAACGCGAAGAACCUUACCAAAUCUUGACAUCCUUUGACGACUCUAGAGAUAGAGCCUUCCCCUUCGGGGGACAAAGUGACAGGUGGUGCAUGGUUGUCGUCAGCUCGUGUCGUGAGAUGUUGGGUUAAGUCCCGCAACGAGCGCAACCCUUAAGCUUAGUUGCCAUCAUUAAGUUGGGCACUCUAAGUUGACUGCCGGUGACAAACCGGAGGAAGGUGGGGAUGACGUCAAAUCAUCAUGCCCCUUAUGAUUUGGGCUACACACGUGCUACAAUGGACAAUACAAAGGGCAGCGAAACCGCGAGGUCAAGCAAAUCCCAUAAAGUUGUUCUCAGUUCGGAUUGUAGUCUGCAACUCGACUACAUGAAGCUGGAAUCGCUAGUAAUCGUAGAUCUGCAUGCUACGGUGAAUACGUUCCCGGGUCU
rnacentral:rRNA from 1 species